rnacentral:rRNA from 1 species
CUACGGGUUGCUGCAGUGGGGAAUAUUGCACAAUGGGCGCAAGCCUGAUGCAGCCAUGCCGCGUGUAUGAAGAAGGCCUUCGGGUUGUAAAGUACUUUCAGCGGGGAGGAAGGGAGUAAAGUUAAUACCUUUGCUCAUUGACGUUACCCGCAGAAGAAGCACCGGCUAACUCCGUGCCAGCAGCCGCGGUAAUACGGAGGGUGCAAUCGUUAAUCGAAAUUACUGGGCGUAAAGCGCACGCAGGCGGUUUGUUAAGUCAGAUGUGAAAUCCCCGGGCUCAACCUGGGAACUGCAUCUGAUACUGGCAAGCUUGAGUCUCGUAGAGGGGGGUAGAAUUCCAGGUGUAGCGGUGAAAUGCGUAGAGAUCUGGAGGAAUACCGGUGGCGAAGGCGGCCCCCUGGACGAAGACUGACGCUCAGGUGCGAAAGCGUGGGGAGCAAACAGGAUUAGAUACCCGAGUAGUC